GACGAGCCACACGAACGUUAUUCGGAAUUACUGGGCUUAAAGGGUGCGUAGGCGGUGCGGAAAGUUGGGUGUGAAAUCCCUCGGCUCAACCGAGGAACUGCGCCCAAAACUACCGUACUUGAGGAAGAUAGAGGUAAGCGGAACUCACGGUGGAGCGGUGAAAUGCGUUGAUAUCGUGAGGAACACCCGUGGCGAAAGCGGCUUACUGGGUCUUUUCUGACGCUGAUGCACGAAAGCUAGGGGAGCAAACGGG
rnacentral:rRNA from 1 species